GACGAACGCUGGCGGCAGGCCUAACACAUGCAAGUCGAACGGUAGCACAGAGAGCUUGCUCUCGGGUGACGAGUGGCGGACGGGUGAGUAAUGUCUGGGAAACUGCCCGAUGGAGGGGGAUAACUACUGGAAACGGUAGCUAAUACCGCAUAACGUCGCAAGACCAAGGUGGGGGACCUUCGGGCCUCACACCAUCGGAUGUGCCCAGAUGGGAUUAGCUAGUAGGUGGGGUAAUGGCUCACCUAGGCGACGAUCCCUAGCUGGUCUGAGAGGAUGACCAGCCACACUGGAACUGAGACAAGGGCCAGACUCCUACGGGAGGCAGCAGUGGGGAAUAUUGCACAAUGGGCGCAAGCCUGAUGCAGCCAUGCCGCGUGUAUGAAGAAGGCCUUCGGGUUGUAAAGUACUUUCAGCGGGGAGGAAGGCGGUGGAGUUAAUAACUUCACCGAUUGACGUUACCCGCAGAAGAAGCACCGGCUAACUCCGUGCCAGCAGCCGCCGUAA
rnacentral:rRNA from 1 species